rnacentral:rRNA from 1 species
UGUGGUGAUGAUGGCUUGAAGGAUACACCUGUACCCAUGCCGAACACAGAAGUUAAGCUUCAACACGCCGAAAGUAGUUGGGGG